rnacentral:rRNA from 1 species
CGGCAACAGCUCAAAUUUGAAAUCUGGCCCUUGCGGUCCGAGUUGUAAUUUGUAGAGGAUGCUUUUGGUGCGGUGCCUUCCGAGUUCCCUGGAACGGGACGCCAUAGAGGGUGAGAGCCCCGUCUGGUUGGACACCAAGCCUCUGUAAAGCUCCUUCGACGAGUCGAGUAGUUUGGGAAUGCUGCUCUAAAUGGGAGGUAUAUGUCUUCUAAAGCUAAAUAUUGGCCAGAGACCGAUAGCGCACAAGUAGAGUGAUCGAAAGAUGAAAAGCACUUUGAAAAGAGGGUUAAAUAGUACGUGAAAUUGUUGAAAGGGAAGCGUUUGUGACCAGACUUGGGCUUGGUUAAUCAUCCGGCGUUCUCGCCGGUGCACUUUGCCAGCCCAGGCCAGCAUCAGUUCGUCGCGGGGGAUAAAGGUAGCGGGAAUGUGGCUCCUCGGAGUGUUAUAGCCCGCUGCGUAAUACCCUGUGGUGGACUGAGGUUCGCGCAUCUGCAAGGAUGCUGGCGUAAUGGUCAUCAACGACCCGUCUUGAAACACGGACCAAGGAGUCGUCUUCGUAUGCGAGUGUUCGGGUGUCAAACCCCUACGCGUAAUGAAAGUGAACGCAGGUGAGAGCUUCGGCGCAUCAUCGACCGAUCCUGAUGUUCUCGGAUGGAUUUGAGUAAGAGCAUACGGGGCCGGACCCGAAAGAAGGUGAACUAUGCCUGUAUAGGGUGAAGCCAGAGGAAACUCUGGUGGAGGCUCGCAGCGGUUCUGACGUGCAAAUCGAUCGUCAAAUAUGGGCAUGGGGGCGAA